rnacentral:rRNA from 1 species
UACGUAGGGGGCAAGCGUUGUCCGGAAUCAUUGGGCGUAAAGAGCGUGUAGGCGGCCCGAUAAGUCCGCUGUGAAAGUCCAGGGCUCAACCCUGGAAUGCCGGUGGAUACUGUCGGGCUCGAAUCCGGAAGAGGUGAGUGGAAUUCCAGGUGUAGCGGUGAAAUGCGUAGAUAUCUGGAGGAACACCGGUGGCGAAGGCGG